GACGAACGCUGGCGGCGUGCUUAACACAUGCAAGUCGAACGGAAAGGCCCUGCUUUUGUGGGGUGCUCGAGUGGCGAACGGGUGAGUAACACGUGAGUAACCUGCCCUUGACUUUGGGAUAACUUCAGGAAACUGGGGCUAAUACCGGAUAGGAGCUCCUGCUGCAUGGUGGGGGUUGGAAAGUUUCGGCGGUUGGGGAUGUACUCGCGGCUUAUCAGCUUGUUGGUGGGGUAGUGGCUUACCAAGGCUUUGACGGGUAGCCGGCCUGAGAGGGUGACCGGGCACAUUGGGACUGAGAUACGGCCCAGACGCCUACGGGCGGCAGCAGUGGGGAAUAUUGGACAAAGGGCGGAAGCCUGAUGCAGCAACGCCGCGUGCGGGAUGACGGCCUUCGGGUUGUAAACCGCUUUCGCCUGUGACGAAGCGUGAGUGACGGUAAUGGGUAAAGAAGCACCGGCUAACUACGU
rnacentral:rRNA from 1 species